GUUGUCAAAGGGGCCCUUAAUUAUUCACCCAUCCCAGAGGCAUCGUUUGAAGAAAGUGCCUUCUUUAAGGGCAUUGGCUGCCUAGAUGUGUUCAAAUAUAAAUGUGUGUGUGUAUACUUACAUUUUUAAUAGACUUUUAUUUUGGAAUAAUUGUAGAUUUACAGAAAAGCUGCAAAGAAUAGUACAGAGAGUUCCCUCAAAUUCUUCGCCCAGUUUCCUCUAACAUUUGCAUCUUACACAGCCAUGGCACAUUUGUCAAAACUAAGAAAUUAACACUGGUAUUACUUUUAACUAAAGGCUUUUUUGGAUUUUACCAGUUUUUUCACUCAUGCCUUGUUUUGUUCCAAAAUCCAACCCAGGAUAUCACACUGCAUUUAAUCAAAUGUAAAUACGUAUGCUUUAACUUUUUUAUUUUAAAAUAAUCAUAGAUUUACAGGAAAUUGCAACAACAACAAAAAAAGUACAGAGAUUCUGUGUACCCUUCCCCCAGUUUCGUUCAGUGGUAACUCCUUGUAUAACUACACAAUAUCAAAACCAUGAAAUAGAUAUUGGCACAAUCCAUAGACAGUAUUAAAUAUACAUGCAUAUAUAUAUAUUUUUAAGUGAAAAAUAUUUUUAAACCUCGCUUUGCCUCACAGCCAAGAAGAUCAAAUACUUUCUCCAAAAACAUAGAAUUUGUAUCUAACUCCACUCGCUCCAAACUCAAGUCCAACCAUGAAAUUAUUGAUCCCUCUCUCUAACCCUCCAACUACAGGCAAGAAGCUGCCCAUACAUUCCCCAAAGCAGGAGUGCACUCUGCCACAGGCCUAGAUGCCGUCAACCUCCUGGACCUUGAACUCCCUAAAUUAAUGGCCUCUGUGUGAGUAUGUGUAAGCAGCCCCUCUCUGUCCCAGUCCAUCCUAAAAUCACUCCCUUGGAGCCACCACUGCCCCUCUCAUCUUCUAGAAUUUCUAGAAAGAUAAAGAGCUAGAUAAGCAUCUAGGUACCUUUCUUCUGCUGUUAGCUCUAAAGACAAGUGAAUAUAUCCUAGCUAGGAUGUACUCUAAGGAAUGCAGAAGUAGGCCGAGUGCAGUGGCUCAUUCCUGUAAUCCCAGUGCUUUGGGAGGCCGAGGUGGGCGGAUCACCUGAGGUCAGGAGUUUGAGUCCAGCCUGGUCAACAUGGCAAAGCCCCGUCUCUACUAAAAAUACAAAAAUUAGCUGGGCGUGGUGGCGGGUGCCUGUAAUCCCAGCUACUCGGGAGGCUGAGGCAGGAGAAUCACUUGAACCCCCAAGGCAGAGGUUGCAGUGAGCUGAGAUGGUACCACUGCCCAUUUCAAAAAAAAAAAAAAAAGAAUGCAGAAGUAAAUUAAAUGACCACAAAGAGUUUUUUUUAAUUUGAGACAGGGUCUGGCUCUGUCACCUAGGCUGGAAUACAGUGGCGCAAUCUCAGCUCACUUCAAUCUGUGCCUCCUGGGCUCAAGCCAUCCCCUGACCUCAGCCUCCUGAGUAGCUGGGACUACAGUCCUGCCACUAUGCCUGGCUAAUUUUUGUAUUUUUUGUAGAGAUGUUGCCCAGGCUGGUCUGAAACUCCUGAGCUCAAGGGAUCCAUCCACCUGGGCCUCCCCAAGUGCUGGGAUUACAGGCAUGCGCCACCGUGCCCAACCCAGACAUCACUUUUAUCUGAAGCAACAACUAUCUGCUCUUUCUGUUUCCUUACUAAUUAUCCAGGAACUUUUACAGGUGAACUCUGAGGAGGACAAUUUUUAUUGUUUUUAUGUCAGCAUAACUAAAAGUAAAGCUGGAUAGGAAGAGGUUACUUGAAAAUGAUUUCACCUGAACUCAAAUGAAUAAGCUGGCUACUGCAUAAAGCAACAGAGGGGUCCCUUUAAUUUAAAAGCUCAGGACUCUGAAUCAAUUGCUGGUUGGGAGAAGGUAGAGACAUUCUUUACUUCUGCCUAGAACUGGGGAAAAUGGCGUAGACUUCUGCUCUGAAGCAGUCCUCAGUGCUGCUUCGGUCAGAACUCCCGAGAGGCAUCUGAGUGCUGGCCUGUCACUGCGGCUGGCAUUCCAGGCAUUUCAUUGGCCCCACUUCAGCCCACGCCUGGCUCCACGGGGCUGGGCAGCUGAGGGGAGUUUGUGGCAGAGUGGGCAUGGGGCACGGCCCGUGCAAUGUGCGUUACAAAGGGGCUCUCUCUGAAGCAAGUCCUCUGCACUCCAGUCUAUUUGAGGAAGAAAAGGACAAUUCCCAUAGGGAGGGGGUUUGCUGAAGCAACCAGCUGCCUGGUUUCCUCUCCAGCAUUGAGAGGGAGGGAGGGCUGGCUUAACUGGGGGACGGCCUUCUCAUCUGGACUGUGUCAAGGCCAAGGUUAGGCUCCAAAUUCCAGAAAACCUCUCUGCAGGGUCUUCUUUCAGAGUGGUGAGAAUGGAAGCAGGCUCCCUUCCCCUCCAGCACUAGGAAGCCCCGCAAUUGGUGAGGUGCAAAGAAAGAUGGGCCCAGGUACUAGAAGGCCCCAUCCUUGGUGCCACAUGGACCCCAGAGGCUUGUCUUAGUCCAUGGGGUCCGAGGUGUAAGACACUUACGUUUGGCGUCACCUCUUAGGCUUGGAUGAAUUUCAGAAAGUGCUAGACUGGAGAACAGUGGAAAAAAUCAGUGGAACAAGAUCUGGAGCACUCACUGCUCAAUGUCAAUGUUAGAGAGCACAACGACACCAAUGGGAGGAGGGUGAGGACCAGAGAACUUAAUUCUUCUCAACUGAGCUGGCUUGGAGGAACUUUUCUCAUCAGCCACUGGAGCAGAGAACGUCACCAGCGUCUCACUGACGUCAACAUCCUGGGCCUGGCUCUAGCUGAAAAGGAAAAUUCUCCCCAAGGCAGACACAUCUCCCGAAGCCCACACAGGCACUUUCUAUGAUUGCACUGGAAAUCUGUCUCCUGGGGACAGGGAGCGCGUACGCUCACAGUCAAGUCACAAUGUUGAGCAGUCUCCAGGACUCCACGUUCAUCUCUAAGAACAGGAGCCGGUGGUUGGGCGCAGAUUCUUGAGCCAGAUUGCUCGCGUUCAAAACCUGGUCCCUUUUUAUUAAUUGCAUGCUUAGUUACAUUUUCUGUUUGUACUUUUGUUUCCUUCUCUGCAAGACGGGGUUAAUCACAGACACUUGUACAUGAUGUAAUACACUUACAAUACUUAGGACAGGCCUUCCUGCAUAGUAAGUGCUCUGCAAACACUGGCUACUAUUCUCCCUACGUGCAAACUUCUCCCAGCCAAAAGCCGCCCACACCAAGCCCCUGUGCCUUUUUCCUUCCGCACCCACGAGCAGGCUGCUCCUGGGGCCCUGGAGCUCACUUUCCCAGCCGCCCUCACCACCCACCGUGGCGCAGAAGAGCUUCCGAAGUCCUGGCGUCUCCCACUGGUCUGGGCAUCUCUCGCUUCAUCUUCCCUCUUGGGCCCCACAACGUGCAGCACUUCUAGGGCAGUAUACUUGCUGAUUGCUUCCUUACUAUUGCUCACAACAACCA
rnacentral:lncRNA from 10 species